UACGUAGGCAGCAAGCGUUGUUCGGAGUUACUGGGCGUAAAGGGUGUGUAGGCGGUUUUUUAAGUUUGGUGUGAAAUCUCCCGGCUCAACCGGGAGGGUGCGCCGAAUACUGAAUGACUUGGAGUGCGGGAGAGGAAAGUGGAAUUCCUGGUGUAGCGGUGAAGUGCGUAGAUAUCAGGAGGAACACCGGUGGUGUAGACGGCUUUCUGGACCGUAACUGACGCUGAGACACGAAAGCGUGGGUAGCAAACAGG
rnacentral:rRNA from 1 species